rnacentral:rRNA from 1 species
AAAUUUUGAGAGAAUUAUUAUUUAUUAAAAAGUAAAUUUAAUUAAGUAUUUUUAAAAGAAAUAUAAAUUUUUAUCAUAAAGAAAUUGGAAAAAAAUUUAAGGAUUUUGGUUUUAUUGAUUCCUUUUGUAUCAGGAUAAAAUAAUUAAUUUGAAAUUAUAAUUAACGAAAAAGAAUGAUUUACUAAAAAAUUUAAAAUUAUGUUUUAUAAUUCUAUUAAUAUUUUAGUGGAAAUGAAAAGUUUUCGUGUUCUUUUAUAUCUUUUUAAUUUUUUAUAAUUUUUAAAAUUAUUUUUAAUUUAAUGAAUAACUUAGGGGAUGAGCUUUAAGUUUUUUUGUACUUUUAAUAAAUUUAAUUUUAUUGUCUUUAUAAUGGAUACUAAAAAUUUUUAAAAAUUUAAUUAAAUGAUAUUAUAUUUUUUUAAGGUUUAUAUUAUAAAAUUUAGUGGAUAAAAUUAAUUUUUAUUCAAUUAAUAUGUUUUAAUUAGUAAAUGUUCUGUGAAAAUUAAUAGUAAUUAUAUAUUAAUAAUUUGAAUUUAACAAUUAUUUUUUUAAGUGUUUAACAAAAACAUUUUCUUUUGGGUAAUAAAAGAUAAAGCCUGCCCAAUGAAAUUUUAAUGGCCGCAGUAUUAUGACUGUGCUAAGGUAGCAUAAUAAUUUGUUUUUUAAUUAAAAACUAGUAUGAAAGGUUUUUUGAAAAAAUAUUAAUGAUUUAUAAAUAAUGUUGAAUUUAAGAUUAAAAUUAAAAUUUUUUAAAGAUCUUAUGGGACGAGAAGACCCUGUGGAUCUUAAAUUUUUAUAUAUUUUUCAUAAUAUAGGAUUAAUAAAUAAAUAAGUUUUGAUUGGGACGAUUAAUUUUUUAACAAAUGAUAUUAAGUUUAUUUUGAUCCUUCUAAAGGAUAAAAGAUUAAGUUACCCCAGGGAUAACAGCGUAAUAUUAUUGGAUAGUUCAUAUUGAUAAUAAUGUUUGCGACCUCGAUGUUGAAUUAAAAUUUUUCUAUGAAGCAGAAAUUAUAGAAGUAAGUCUGUUCGACUUAUUAAAUUUUACAUGAUUUGAGUUCAGACCGGCGUGAGCCAGGUCAGUUUCUAUCUAUAAGGUUUAAAAAAGCUAGUAGUACGAAAGGACCUUAACUUAUUUUAAUA